rnacentral:rRNA from 1 species
AUUGAACGCUGGCGGCAGGCUUAACACAUGCAAGUCGAACGAGUGGCGGACGGGUGAGUAAUGCCUGGGAACCUAGCUUAUGGAGGGGGAUAACUACUGGAAACUGUAGCUAAUACCGCGUAACCUAGGAUGAGCCCAAGUGGGAUUCGGUAGUUGGUGAGGUAAAGGCUCACCAAGCCGACGAUCCCUAGCUGGUCUGAGAGGAUGAACAGCCACACUGGUACUGAGACACGGCCCAGACUCCUACGGGAGGCAGCAGUGGGGAAUAUUGCACAAUGGGCGAAAGCCUGAUGCAGCCAUGCCGCGUGUAUGAAGAAGGCCCUAGGGUUGUAAAGUACUUUCAGUCGGGAGGCGUUACCGACAGAAGAAGCACCGGCUAACUCCGUGCCAGCAGCCGCGGUAAUUC